GUCGGUCUCUUUGUGGAUCCUCUCUUUUUGUUGCUUCCUAUUAUUAUCGAUAACUGUAUGGGCACCGACAAUCUAUUGGGUUACGCCAUAAUAGUAUUUCGCCUAAUGGUUGAUUGCUUCGCCUGCUUUCAAAUCUAUUUGAAAUUCCGUACAGCUUUUGUUUCCAAAAAAACUCGGGUUUUUGGCAAGGGUGAGCUAGUGAUGGAUCGACGCUUGAUCGCUAUUCGUUACUUAAAAAACGC
rnacentral:misc_RNA from 1 species